UACAGAGGUCUCAAGCGUUGUUCGGAUUCAUUGGGCGUAAAGCGCACGUAGGCGGCCUCAUAAGUCGGAUGUGAAAUCCCUCGGCUCAACCGAGGAAGUGCAUCCGAAACUGCGAGGCUCGAGUAUGGAAGAGGGUCGCAGAAUUCCCGGUGUAGAGGUGAAAUUCGUAGAUAUCGGGAGGAAUACCAGUGGCGAAGGCGGCGACCUGGGCCAAUACUGACGCUGAGGUGCGAAAGCGUGGGGAGCAAACAGG
rnacentral:rRNA from 1 species